rnacentral:rRNA from 1 species
UGGGGAAUAUUGGACAAUGGGGGCAACCCUGAUCCAGCCAUGCCGCGUGUGUGAAGAAGGCCUUUUGGUUGUAAAGCACUUUAAGCAGUGAAGAAGACUCCAUGGUUAAUACCCAUGGACGAUGACAUUAGCUGCAGAAUAAGCACCGGCUAACUCUGUGCCAGCAGCCGCGGUAAUACAGAGGGCGCAAGCGUUAAUCGGCAUUACUGGGCGUAAAGCGAGCGUAGGUGGCUUGAUAAGUCAGAUGUGAAAGCCCCGGGCUUAACCUGGGAACGGCAUCUGAUACUGUUAGGCUAGAGUAGGUGAGAGGAAGGUAGAAUUCCAGGUGUAGCGGUGAAAUGCGUAGAGAUCUGGAGGAAUACCGAUGGCGAAGGCAGCCUUCUGGCAUCAUACUGACACUGAGGUUCGAAAGCGUGGGUAGCAAACA